AUGGGUCCAUUUCAUGCAUCUCCCACUUCACUGCAGAAGCUUUUUUUGGCUUUUUGGCACUCUCUUUAAUUUCUUGCUUUUAAUGAGUUAUUUGAGAUCGUUAUCGUCCUUUAUUUUCAAUACCCAUUUGUGUUUGUAGGCUUUAAAUCUCAGUUUCUUGGUUUUGGGAUCAUUGGAGAAUACCACUUUUCUGAUUGUGCAAAGAAAUUAACCCAUUUUUUCUUUAUUGGUGUACUGGAUUUUAUUUCGUUUCUCCAUUUUCUUUUAUUUUUUUGGUCGUUUAAAGAAAGUGAAUGCAUUUCCCUGUUGGCUUUUUCACCAUCAUCUUUCUUUCUCUCUUUUGUUAAAGAAGAAAACAAAAGUCACCAAUGUUUUAUGGCUUUUCAUUAUACUCUUUCAUGGAGAAAGAGAGACCAAUGAUUUCAUGGGAAGUUGAUGUUGAAAUAGCUUGUCUUGGGUUUUCUGAGUAAAGCCUAUAUAUAGUGUCAAUUAGUAUUCAAACAGACCACUUUGUCUUGCAAGCUUUGAAAAAAAUUAUCUCAUGUAUCUGCUUUGAGAAAUCCCAUGAAUCUGCAUAAAAAAUUUUGACUCUCUUUAUAGUACUUUACCCUAAAGCUGGCUUCCAAACUUUGGAUUCCUAGCUAGUUGUGGUUUGUCUCUUGGUGGGUGAUAGCUCCUUAGCAAAUGAAUGAGGAUAAGGAAGGUCCACAAGCAGAGCCUGAAGAGGAAGAAGAGGAGAUGGUGAUAGUUUUCUUAGCUUGGGAUUGGUGUGUGCUUGCUUGUUUUGAUUGUUUAGUUUUGGGUGUACAUGAUAUUUUACAGCUACUGUUUACAUCAAAAUGAAGAAACCCAAUGCUGCCAUCCGGGAUGCCAAUGCUGCUCUUGAGGUUGUUGCUUUCAUUAGC
rnacentral:lncRNA from 1 species